rnacentral:rRNA from 1 species
UCGAGCGAAGCGCGCCCCGGAAUCCUUCGGGAGGAAGGGUCGCGACUGAGCGGCGGACGGGUGAGUAACGCGUGGGCAACCUGCCCCAUACAGGGGGACAACGGCCGGAAACGGCCGCUAAUACCGCAUGAUUCCUCUUGGCCGCAUGGCCGGGAGGGGAAAGCCGAGACGGUAUGGGAUGGACCCGCGUCUGAUUAGCUGGUUGGCGAGGUAACGGCUCACCAAGGCGACGAUCAGUAGCCGGCCUGAGAGGGCGACCGGCCACAUUGGGACUGAGACACGGCCCAAACUCCUACGGGAGGCAGCAGUGGGGAAUAUUGCACAAUGGGGGAAACCCUGAUGCAGCGACGCCGCGUGAAGGACGAAGUAUUUCGGUACGUAAACUUCUAUCAGCAGGGAAGAAAAUAACGGUACCUGACCAAGAAGCCCCGGCUAACUACGUGCCAGCAGCCGCGGUAAUACGUAGGGGGCAAGCGUUAUCCGGAUUUACUGGGUGUAAAGGGAGCGUAGACGGCCAUGCAAGUCUGAUGUGAAAACCCGGGGCUCAACCCCGGGACUGCAUUGGAAACUGUGCGGCUGGAGUGUCGGAGAGGCAAGUGGAAUUCCUAGUGU